rnacentral:rRNA from 1 species
CACGUAGGAGGCGAGCGUUGUCUGGAAUCAUUGGGCGUAAAGAGCGCGCAGGCGGCUUGGCAAGUCGGGUGUGAAAUCCCGGGGCUCAACCCCGGGACUGCAUUCGAUACUGUCAGGCUAGAGGUAGGUAGGGGAGAUCGGAAUUCCUGGUGUAGCGGUGAAAUGCGCAGAUAUCAGGAGGAACACCGGUGGCGAAGGCGGAUCUCUGGGCCUUACCUGACGCUCAGGCGCGAAAGCUAGGGGAGCGAACAGG